GAUGAACGCUGGCGGCGUGCCUAAUACAUGCAAGUCGAGCGAAUGGAUUAAGAGCUUGCUCUUAUGAAGUUAGCGGCGGACGGGUGAGUAACACGUGGGUAACCUGCCCAUAAGACUGGGAAAACUCCGGGAAACCGGGGCUAAUACCGGAUAACAUUUUGAACCGCAUGGUUCGAAAUUGAAAGGCGGCUUCGGCUGUCACUUAUGGAUGGACCCGCGUCGCAUUAGCUAGUUGGUGAGGUAACGGCUCACCAAGGCAACGAUGCGUAGCCGACCUGAGAGGGUGAUCGGCCACACUGCGACUGAGACACGGCCCAGACUCCUACGGGAGGCAGCAGUAGGGAAUCUUCCGCAAUGGACGAAAGUCUGACGGAGCAACGCCGCGUGAGUGAUGAAGGCUUUCGGGUCGUAAAACUCUGUUGUUAGGGAAGAACAAGUGCUAGUUGAAUAAGCUGGCACCUUGACGGUACCUAACCAGAAAGCCACGGCUAACUACGUGCCAGCCGCCGCCGUAAGAC
rnacentral:rRNA from 1 species